rnacentral:rRNA from 1 species
CCUACGGGAGGCAGCAGUGAGGAAUAUUGGUCAAUGGACGAGAGUCUGAACCAGCCAAGUAGCGUGAAGGAUGACUGCCCUAUGGGUUGUAAACUUCUUUUAUAUGGGAAUAAAAUGUUCCACGUGUGGGAUUUUGUAUGUACCAUAUGAAUAAGGAUCGGCUAACUCCGUGCCAGCAGCCGCGGUAAUACGGAGGAUCCGAGCGUUAUCCGGAUUUAUUGGGUUUAAAGGGAGCGUAGGUGGAUUGUUAAGUCAGUUGUGAAAGUUUGCGGCUCAACCGUAAAGUUGCAGUUGAAAAUGGCAGUCUUGAGUACAGUAGAGGUGGGCGGAAUUCGUGGUGUAGCGGUGAAAUGCUUAGAUAUCACGAAGAACUCCGAUUGCGAAGGCAGUUCACUGGACUGCAACUGACACUGAGGCUCGAAAGUGUGGGUAUCAAACAGGAUUAGAUACCCCUGUAGUC